rnacentral:rRNA from 1 species
GUCUACGUCCGUACCACAUUGAGUUCACCACCUCUCGUUUGAUCCCUGAAGUUAAGCAAUGUUGGACGGCGCAAGGACCUAGAAGAGAGAACUCUUGAUCCCUUAAGUUAAGCGAUGUCAGGAUGAGUCAGUGCCUGGAAGGUAGACCACCUGCGAAUACUCGGGGUUGUAGACA